rnacentral:rRNA from 1 species
UGGGGAAUAUUGGACAAUGGGCGAAAGCCUGAUCCAGCCAUGCCGCGUGUGUGAAGAAGGUCUUCGGAUUGUAAAGCACUUUAAGUUGGGAGGAAGGGCAUUAACCUAAUACGUUAGUGUUUUGACGUUACCGACAGAAUAAGCACCGGCUAACUCUGUGCCAGCAGCCGCGGUAAUACAGAGGGUGCAAGCGUUAAUCGGAAUUACUGGGCGUAAAGCGCGCGUAGGUGGUUUGUUAAGUUGGAUGUGAAAUCCCCGGGCUCAACCUGGGAACUGCAUUCAAAACUGACUGACUAGAGUAUGGUAGAGGGUGGUGGAAUUUCCUGUGUAGCGGUGAAAUGCGUAGAUAUAGGAAGGAACACCAGUGGCGAAGGCG